UACAGAGGGUGCGAGCGUUGUUCGGAAUCAUUGGGCGUAAAGCGCUUGUAGGCGGCCUGUCAAGUCGCGUGUGAAAUCCCCUGGCUUAACCAGGGAAGUGCGCGCGAAACUGGCGGGCUUGAGUGCCGGAGAGGGUCGCGGAAUUCCCGGUGUAGAGGUGAAAUUCGUAGAUAUCGGGAGGAACACCAGUGGCGAAGGCGGCUUCCUGGACCGACACUGACGCUGAGGCGCGAAAGCUAGGGGAGCAAACGGG
rnacentral:rRNA from 1 species